ensembl:lncRNA
CGCCCACUCGAGGCGGAGGCGGCGGCGCAGCGAGCCCCGAGGCUCCGAGAACGCGCCUGGCACCGCCGCCGCGGGGCGGGCGUCUGUUCUGCCGGGUUCGAGCCCCGGGCACUAUAGGUCCCCGCGCCCUAGCCCUGCACGAGUGACGAACCCUCUCUGGGCUUGAAACGACACCGGCCUCACGAGGUGCCCGCAGGGAUGAGCCGAGGCUUCGGUGUAUAUAGCGCUGGCCGCGUCCUGGGCAGGGGCGCCCCUCCGUCAACGACGCCCCCCGCCCCCGCCCCCGCCCCCGCCCGCGGCGGGGCGAUGACCCAGCACCUCGGCCCAGUGGCAGCAACAGGGGCCUGUGUGGGCAUGGGCACAGCCCCCCAGCUGCCCCCGUGCUGAGGUUCGGCGGCCUGCAGCUGCGGGGUCUGCCGUGCGCUCCCGAGAUGGAGGCGGCGCUGGGGCGCGCGGUGAGCGCCACUCGGUGCUGGGCGGCGGGGGACCUGGUGGCGGAUACGCCCCCGCAGGGCCGCGUCCAGCAGAGCGAAACGGAGAAACAGACUGCUGGCUGCCUUCCUAUCAAGUUCUUUUCUAACCUUGAUCACCGAAAAUAUUACUAUUCUGAUGCCCCAGAGGAGCGAACGGAACCACGAUUGGUUCGCAGCCAAGCAAAGACUGAAGACCUCACAGGCUGCAGCGAAGAUCUGGCACAGCCAAAGAAAGAAAGAUUUUUUUACAAAUAAAUAAAAAGAGGGAGAGACACCAAGCACAAAGAGACACCACGCACAAAGAGAAAAGAUCAUGUGAGGGCUGGCAAGGUGGCAGCCCUCUGCAAGCUGAGGAGAGAAGCCUCAGAGGAACCAGACUUGCCAACACCUUGAGCUGGGACUUCCAGCCUCCAGAACUGUGAGAAAAUAAAUUUCUGCUGUUCAGACUAACAUAGGUCUUAAGAUCGAAAUUUUUGAAUUUUAAAUCCUACGAUAUUAACCUGGUUCAAAAAUCAAAUGGAAAAAGUCAUAGUGACUAGAUGAGCAGGUCGUCAUCAAUCAGUGAAACUGCAUGUUGAUAGCGUGUGGUGAUCAUGGCAUUUUAUCCCUGUGAUAUUCCUCCCCAAAUCCCAUAAACUCAAGCGAAUCAUGAAGAAAAUAUCAGAUAGAUCUCAACUGAGAAAUAUUCUCAGUUCGAUUCAGUUCAGUCGCUCAGUCAUGUCCGACUCUUUGUCAUCCCAUGGACUGCAGCACGCCAGGCUUCCCUGUCCAUCACCAUCUCCCAGAGCUUGUUCAAACUCAUGUCCAUCAAGUCAGUGAUGCCAUCCAGCCAUCUCAUCCUCUGUCAUCCCCUUCUCCUCUUGCCGUCAAUAUUUGCCAGCACCAGGGUCUUUUCCAGUGAGUCAAUUCUUCACAUCAGGUUGCCAAAGUAUUGGAGUUUCAACUUCAGCAUCAGUCCUUCCAAUGAAUAUUCUACCAAAUACCUAACCAGUAUUCUUCAAAAUUGUCAAAGUCAUAUAAAAUAAGGAAGGUUCAGGAAACUGUCACAGCCAAGAGGAACUGAAGGUGACAUGAUGACUAAACGUAAUGUGUCCUGGAUGGGAUCCCAGAGUAAAGGACAGUGGGUAAGACUAACGUGUGUGUGC